GAGAUCUAGUCGCCAAAUCCCUCUUCGGGGGGAGCGGGCGAACUGGCAUUCGGUGAAGCUCGCAGAAGCGAGCAGGGUAAGCCUUUCAGCCCUAACCGUCUAGCUAAGCCCGCAGGCGUUGGAAAGGCCUC
rnacentral:sRNA from 2 species